GACAGAGGGGGCAAGCGUUGCUCGGAAUCACUGGGCGUAAAGGGCGCGUAGGCGGGAUGGCAAGUCGGUCGUGAAAUCCCUGGGCUCAACUCAGGGGGGGUCGGCCGAUACUGCCGUUCUUGAGGGAUGCAGAGGAGACUGGAAUUCCCGGUGUAGCGGUGAAAUGUGUAGAGAUCGGGAGGAACACCGGUGGCGAAGGCGGGUCUCUGGGCAGUAACUGACGCUGAGGAGCGAAAGCGUGGGGAGCGAACAGG
rnacentral:rRNA from 1 species